AGAGUUUGAUCCUGGCUCAGAACGAACGCUGACGGUAUGCCUCAUACAUGCAAGUCGAGCGGGCACCUUCGGGUGUCAGCGGCGAACUGGUGAGUAACACGUGAACAAUCUGCCCUCGAAUUUGGGAUAACGGCUCCAACGAGCCGCUAAUACCGGAUAGGUUAUUUCGGUCGCAUGGCUGGAUUAAGAAAGUUGCUUUUGCAACGUUCGAGGAUGAGUUCGCGUCCCAUUAGCUUGUUGGCGGGGUAAAGGCCCACCAAGGCGACGAUGGGUAGCCGGCCUGAGAGGGUGAUCGGCCACAUUGGGACUGAGAUACGGCCCAGACUCCUACGGGAGGCAGCAGUAGGGAAUUUUGCGCAAUGGACGAAAGUCUGACGCAGCAAUACCGUGUGAGGGAUGAAGCAUUUCGGUGUGUAAACCUCUGUCGAUGGUGACUAAAUGCUCUAAGAGUGGAAAGCUUAGGGUUUGAAUGUAGCCAAGAAGGAAGCACCGGCUAACUCUGUGCCAGCAGCCGCGGUAAUACAGGGGGUGCAAGCGUUGUUCGGAAUUACUGGGCGUAAAGGGAGCGUAGGCGGAAUUGCAAGACAGAGGUUAAAUCUCCGGGCUCAACCUGGAACUUGCCUUUGUGACUGCAGUUCUUGAGUAUGGUAGAGGUCAGUGGAAUUUCCGGUGUAGCGGUGGAAUGCGUAGAUAUCGGAAAGAACACCAGAGGCGAAGGCGACUGACUGGGCCAAUACUGACGCUGAGGCUCGAAAGCGUGGGGAGCAAACAGGAUUAGAUACCCUGGUAGUCCACGCUGU
rnacentral:rRNA from 1 species